AGCAAAAGUCUCCCUUUGUAGCGUUUUUCAUUACCGAAUAUUUUCUACCUCGUGCCAUACCAGAACCAGCGUGUGCACUACCUAACUAGAGCUCGUGUCUGGAACAGUUUUUCACCAAAACGUGUUCAAACGUUGCCGGGAAAACAUCGUAUUAUCAAGGAAUCUGCAAUAGUUUGUUUGAUAACACAAGUUAUUAGUGUGCAAAGCAAAAUUCGGUUAAAAAAUCACAGUGUCCCGUACUACAAGUCGUAGGGAGUAUUACAGAUCAAAACUGAUAGCUGCAUUUCAAUCAUAUAAAUACUAAUAUUCAAAAGGCUGGUAACCAUCUGUUCGGAAUCCGUAACAUCAAGAUAUAAUAGCAUAAGUACAUGUCAUAAACAUGUCGUAAAUUUGUAAUAUAUCAAUGUCAACAACUCCAAAUGUAUAUGUAACGCUUUGAUUUAGCAUGGGAUUCAAACAUUUAAAGAUACGAAUAAAUUCCCAUUUAUUCCAUCUGAUCCUAUUCGUGAAACAUAUAUGUGUUAUCAUCCUCUUAGAUGUUAUCAAAACAAAAAUGUGUCUAUUGCAAAGAAUAUUAUUAACUAUUAAUAGUCAAAACUAAGACAGUUUAAUCCAAAGAUAUAACUGUUAUCAUUCGAUCGAUAAAAUAUGACCUUUUGACGAGAAUGCUUACACCUUGCACGACAAUGAGAUCAGAAAAGAUUUCCAGAUAAAUAUAAAGAAAGGUACGUAAACAAAUGAGAGGAAAAAUGUAUGUCCAAGUAUUCACACCUAGAAUCUGUGCAAAUGUUUCACAAUUUUUCCCACGACCUAUCAAAUCUAACAUUAUGGCACAGGAAAAUCGUGAGUUGGUUCGGUAUUAUCUGUAGGAAAGAUCCCUGAAUGUUGAGACUGAUAAAUCGAAUUGGCAGCAAUAGCACGGCAGAACCUGUUUCUUCAACGAGAAUGUGCGGGAGCAGGUUUUCGGCAUACUUCCAUCGCACUCUGUUCUUUUACUCGUGGGUAGCUGAAGUGCUUUAAUAUUUGAAAGAGCAAGGCACGCUCUUUUAUGUAUGUGUGUAUGUUUUUUAUUACUGAAGCAACCUUUGUCAAUUGCCGGUAGCUGCGUCUGCUGCUAUUGUGCUACAACGUUUUCGGUCGUCGCUCGCAAGUUUUGGUACGGACAGUAUAUGCAACACGCUACACUCUCACAACUCAACCAUACGGCCAGCGGGACACAUCGUUGUCAUCUUUAACGUCAUCGCAGUAGACCGGACUACUCUCGUUGGCAUCAUAAUCAUAGCUGUGUUUGCUUCCUGAACUCGUUCUCGUUUCCUACGCAUUUCACACUGUUACUGGUUGCGAAAGAUGUGAUUCAUCCUUUAAUUACACUGCAAUACAUAGUUGAUGAGCUGGAUGGAAUUUGAGUAUAGAUCACACGCAUCUGUACAGAGUGGUAAAUCAUCGAAUUUCGAAGGAAAAUAUUAUUUAAACAUGUGCUCUUGUUCGUGUGUCAGAGUUUUUAUACAUCUUUAUUAGAGCGGUAUAAGAAAACUGGUGAUGUAGUGAGCCAAUAUUUCAUCAAAUCCAACGAAGUGAAUUAUCAGUGAAUGAGCGUUGUUCGAGUGCCGCUUCAUGAACGUAUACUGAAUGUAUCCUGAGUGCUACUUAUCCGGUAUACCUUCAGUAUACGUAACAAGAGGCGACACAAUCAUCGUUGAUGUCGUGAUAUGGAUACGGUUUUUGUACAUAAUUCAACACAUUGCAUUACAAUAUAAAACAAUACUCUAUGCUUAAACGUUCGUUUCCGAGAUAUAAGAGAAUUAUUCUGAUGGGUGAAAUUAAAGAAUUACCUUCGUGUAUACGCUUUUAAAAUAUGUUAAUGUCAAUUGUGUGGUUAAUGUAUCUGCAAGAUACUAAUCAUGUGUGUCAAUUAUUGUUUAAACUCUCCUCAUAUCAUGUGACAUUCUUUAAUGAAUUAUACAUGUGCACUUCUAAAAUUUGGCGCAUAAUUACAUCACAAAAGCAUACAUUACGCAUCAUAAUAAAUAAUGAAGCUAACGUAAGGAUAACUUUUUUAGGAGUAUGAAAUUGUAUUGAAGGCCCUAGAAUAAUGUGACUGAGAGCAAAUUAAUUGAUAAGGACGAAGUAUCCGUAUUGAGAAAUGUAGUGCCUAUCAGCUUCAUACUACAUGAAGAGAAGAAGAAAGAGAGAGAGAGAGAAAGAGAGCGAGAGAGAAAGAGAUAGAGAGAGUGAGUUAAAUGGAUAGAUAGAUAGA